rnacentral:tRNA from 1 species
GAUGGUAUAUCUCAGUGGAGAGCACAUGCUUAGUGGGCAUGAGGUCCUGGGUUCAACUCCCAGUACCUCCA